UUUACUACAAUUCCCUGCCACUGGAGACGCUAAUCACAAGCAAAACUGCCGGCCUAUUAGUGCGCUCGCUGUCUUUGAAUUCUCUCGUACAGAAAAAAAAGUGCAAGCGCUCGACGUAAUAUCCUUCAUCGAUGCCACACAUGACUCUGGGAUCCGAGAUUGCAACUGCUGAACGGCCAAAAAAACUAUCCUGGCGCCCUAUUUGGCGGACGAAUCAGCCCCAAGGUUGACUGCGCCCCCGCCCAUGCCUUCUGGGAUCCGAGAUUGCAACUGCUGAACGGCCAAAAAAACUAUCUUGGCGCCCUAUUUGGCGGACGAAUCAGCCCCAAGGUUGACUGCGCCCCCGCCCAUGCCUUCUAAUCGCGAUUUUCUGCUGCUGCACGUGAUUACUGGAAGAAGGAUUAGAAAAGACGAGCUCGGAUUUUUGUUGGUGACUAGUAAGCAGCAAAAAUAUCUUGCAGUUUCUAAUUUUCUUGCCAUCCAGAUCUUUGUUCCAAGCCUUUCUUAGCAUUUUUUAUUAAACUAACAGUGUUUUUAAUUUCUUGUAUCAUAUGUGUGUGCGCUAAUUAGCAAGAUGUUAUCGAGAAAGUAUGCAUCUGGUAAUGACUAAAGAAAAUAAACUUGCGUAUCAGUUUAUUGAGAUCAAGAAAGGAGAUAUUGACAUUUUCCUAUAA